rnacentral:rRNA from 1 species
GGGCCCGCACAAGCGGUGGAGUAUGUGGUUUAAUUCGAUGCAACGCGAAGAACCUUACCAGGGUUUGACAUCCUGCGAAUCUCUUGGAAACAGGAGAGUGCCUUCGGGAACGCAGUGACAGGUGGUGCAUGGCUGUCGUCAGCUCGUGUCGUGAGAUGUUGGGUUAAGUCCCGCAACGAGCGCAACCCACGUCUUUAGUUGCCAGCAUUUAGUUGGGCACUCUAGAGAGACUGCCGGUGAUAAACCGGAGGAAGGUGUGGAUGACGUCAAGUCAUCAUGCCCCUUACGGCCUGGGCUACACACGUGCUACAAUGGCUAGGACAGACGGCCGCAAACCCCGCGAGGGG